rnacentral:rRNA from 1 species
AACGAACGCUGGCGGCAGGCUUAACACAUGCAAGUCGAGCGCCCCGCAAGGGGAGCGGCAGACGGGUGAGUAACGCGUGGGAAUCUACCCAUCUCUACGGAAUAGCGCAUGGAAACGUGUGCUAAUACCGUAUACGUCCUUCGGGAGAAAGAUUUAUCGGAGAUGGAUGAGCCCGCGUUGGAUUAGCUAGUUGGUGGGGUAAAGGCCUACCAAGGCGACGAUCCAUAGCUGGUCUGAGAGGAUGAUCAGCCACACUGGGACUGAGACACGGCCCAGACUCCUACGGGAGGCAGCAGUGGGGAAUAUUGGACAAUGGGCGCAAGCCUGAUCCAGCCACGCCGCGUGAGUGAUGAAGGCCCUAGGGUUGUAAAGCUCUUUCACCGGUGAAGAUAAUGACGGUAACCGGAGAAGAAGCCCCGGCUAACUUCGUGCCAGCCGCCGCAGUAAUAC